rnacentral:rRNA from 1 species
AGCGGCGAACGGGUGAGUAACACGUAGGUGAUCUGCCCAUCAGACGGGGACAACGAUUGGAAACGAUCGCUAAUACCGGAUAGGACGAAAGUUUAAAGGUGCUUCUGGCACCGCUGAUGGAUGAGCCUGCGGCGCAUUAGCUAGUUGGUAGGGUAAAGGCCUACCAAGGCGACGAUGCGUAGCCGACCUGAGAGGGUGAACGGCCACACUGGGACUGAGACACGGCCCAGACUCCUACGGGAGGCAGCAGUAGGGAAUCUUCGGCAAUGGGCGAAAGCCUGACCGUGCAACGCCGCGUGAAUGAUGAAGGCCUUCGGGUUGUAAAAUUCUGUUAUAAGGGAAGAACGACUUUAGUAGGAAAUGGCUAGAGUGUGACGGUACCUUAUGAGAAAGCCACGGCUAACUACGUGCCAGCAGCCGCGGUAAUACGUAGGUGGCGAGCGUUAUCCGGAAUUAUUGGGCGUAAAGAGCGCGCAGGUGGUUGAUUAAGUCUGAUGUGAAAGCCCACGGCUUAACCGUGGAGGGUCAUUGGAAACUGGUCGACUUGAGUGCAGAAGAGGGAAGUGGAAUUCCAUGUGUAGCGGUGAAAUGCGUAGAGAUAUGGAGGAACACCAGUGGCGAAGGCGGCUUCCUGGUCUGUAACUGACACUGAGGCGCGAAAGCGUGGGGAGCAAACAGGAUUAGAUACCCUGGUAGUCCACGCCGUAAACGAUGAGUGCUAAGUGU